rnacentral:rRNA from 1 species
UACGGAGGGUGCGAGCGUUGUCCGGAAUCACUGGGCGUAAAGCAGGUGCAGGCGGCCUGUUGUGUCGGGUGUGAAAUCCCGUGGCUCAACCACGGAACUGCGCCCGAAACUGAUGGGCUUGAGUGCGAGAGGGGAUGGUGGAAUUCUCGGUGUAGAGGUGAAAUUCGUAGAUAUCGAGAGGAAUACCGGUGGCGAAGGCGACCAUCUGGCUCGUUUCUGACGCUCAGACCUGAAAGCGUGGGUAGCAAACAGG